CCGGCACCCGAACUUGUCCCUGAAAGUAAACAAAUUCCAUCCAACGCCACAGCUGGGAGGGGCUGGGAGCCCCUCAUCCUGAAGUGGAGACUGAGCCUUAAGUGGACAAGGUCCUGUUCAAGGUCACCCAGUGAUUUGGGGCAGAGUUGGGGCUGGAAUGCCGUCCUAGGACGCCCGCACACAAAAUCCCUCCCAUUCCCAGCAGUCCUGAUUUCUGUCCUGCUUCGCUUCUCCCCAUAACACCGCAGGCCACCCCUCGCCUGUGAGGGUCGAGGACCCAGGACGAGAUAACGGAGAUGUGGGGAGAGGUUGUCAAUUCCAUCAAAUUGUCAUGCUGACUACAAGUUGCUGUUUGCUAGAUCAUCUGCAACAGACUCCCCCGAGACCACCCCCUCCCGUCUGGGAUGUCCCCAUGGGAAGUGACAGGAUUAACCAGACUUGGAGCUGAAGUCUCUCUUUAUUGCACUGGUGAUGUGUUCGGGGGCGCCACAGGCAGGGGAGGUGCAGAGGGUACCACCUCCUCUUCGGUCAGCAUCUCUGCCAGGACUCGGGUCUGAGUCCAGUCGCUGUGGCUCCUGGGGCAGGGUGAGUUGUUUGAUGGGAGGUGAGCCUCCAAGUUCCCAGGCCUCCUCCUCCC